CUGGUUCAGAGAAGAGUUCGGUUUACCUGAGUGGAGACAGAAGACAGAGUUGUUGAUUACAUAUUUCCUCUGAUCAUAAGAAGCUGGAGUUUUCAACUUCCUGCGGCCUGUGAUGUCACAGGCCGGACUCAGCCCACACCAACCUGAGCCCAACUCGUCCCAAGCAGAGACUCCGCCCACUUCUUCACAGGACGGUCGCGGCCGGCCAGUGACCUGUUUCUCGGGGGACACUAUUCCUUGCAGCACUGCUAUAGUCACCUUCGACAAGUGACCAGCUGAGCUCCCGGACCGUUUCUCCAGCUUCUCCUACACCUAUCGGUAUCAGCUGCCCCGCUAUCCGUGUCGAAGCAGCCAAGGCUGGGCAGCAACAGGGGAGCUGCUCCAGGAGCUGCUUCGGUUACAUUCAGACUUUGAAGUACUUUUUUAUGUGGUUGUGUGGUUUUCAAAAUGUUGUUAUAUAUUGUCUGACUGUUAU